ensembl:lncRNA
CAGCACUUAAUCAUUUCCCCGAUUGCCAGCGCCAUGUGCUGGGAGCGGUGCUGGCUGUAACCCGGCGAGCCUGAGGCCGCCGCUGCAGCCCGGGGAGCUGAUGGCAGAAGCACACCACACGUGGAGUUUAAUUAUUGGCUUUCUUCCUUAACAGAGUACAUUGGCUGACCUUAAUGCAAUUAAUUAGGGCUUAAUCAACUUCUGGUGGCUCUGCACGGCACACAGUGAUUCCUGCCUUUCCAGGAGGGUUUAUAAGAAGUUAAAGCGGUAGAGGGGAGGGUGUGGUGUUGUUUGUGGGUUUUGUGGGGCUGUGCUGAUAAGUAAAGUUAGUCAGGAAUUUGGGUUGAAUUUGUGUCUUCCCGGGCUGGGCUUGUUGUUUGACAUGCUAGUAAAGGCAGGGGAGAGGACAGGGUAGUGCUGUUGCUUCAUCCUUUUCCAAAGUCUUGCCUCCUUGAGAAAGGGUUUGUCCCGUGGGAACUUCAAACCACUAAAUAUGUGUGGUUGAGGCAGGGAAACUUUUGCCAAGAGAAGUUGUACUCCGGUGGGAUGCUGCCUUGGGAAGGGACAACCCUGCUGCAUCCAAACCUGAGCCCUCUAUGGCAAAUUCUCUGCCACCAAACUCCAGUGAGGACCUGUGGGAGACACUCCACUGCUGCCAGCUGGCCUUGGUUGCUGUGGGAAGGAUUAAUGGCACAUCCAGCUGAUGAUCCCACAAUUGCUGACUUGGUUUGGAGGCAGUUCAGGAGCGAUGGCAGACCCGGCGCUGCCCUCACGGUGCUGGGUUCUCUCCGGUGGUGGUCACUUGUGAGUGUCUCCUCCCUGCCACCCUAAUGCCCGACACCAUUCCCUUCCUGGGUGGGUUUUGCUGGGGAUUUUGGGUGGGUCAAGCCCCUUAAGCUGUGGGAUUUGUGCUUUUUAUUUAGAGUCACAGUGCCUGAUCUGGCAAAUGCUGUGGCACAGCCUGGCCUAGGGAAAGCCAGGGCUGUCCCCCUCUACAGUGGGAAUGACCCCUCCAGCCUCCCAAAACGUGGCAGAGAUGUGGUUUGACAGCUCUUGGGGAAGAAAGGUGAGAGCCUUGGAAAUACUGAUGUGGAAAGCCAACCCACCCGCCCCAGUUUUGCAUUGAAGAAAGCUUCUGUGUGGAUGGAUUCCCCCUUCCUUGGGGGUCUGGCAGCCCCCUGCCUGCACUGCCCCAGGGAGGGGACAUGUGGAGACCCUUUCCUCAGGACUCCUGCCAUCCACCAUUCAGCGUGGGCAGGGACAUCCCAGAGGGAUAUGUGGAGAGUCCACCCUGCUGCACAGCUCCAGUCCCUAGAGAAACCCAGGCACUGGGGAUGGAGGAAGGCUUCUGGGAGUGUUUGGAAGAGUGUUGAUGUUCCCAGUGCUACCCUGUGGCAUGGAAAGGCAGCCUGAGGCUUAAAAUUCCUCCUGCUGGCUUAAGGGGAGCCCAGGUUGAUGGCUCUGGGGUGGCUCAGCCCCUCUGGAGUUGCUUAAGACAACACUCUGGCGCUGGUUGGCUGUGUUCUCCUGGACAAAGAGUUUUUUGGUGCUGUGUGGCAACCAGAGAGUGUAUUGUUACUUUGGGGGGGAGGGGNNNNNNNNNNNNNNNNNNNNUUUUUUUUUUUUUUUU